ACUUAGCUCAGUUAGUAGAACAUCGGAUUCCAGUCCCGAAGAUCAACGGUUCAAGUCCAGUAGUG
rnacentral:tRNA from 14 species